UGGGGAAUUUUCCGCAAUGGGGGGAACCCUGACGGAGCAACGCCGCGUGCGGGAGGACGGCCUGUGGGUUGUAAACCGCUUUUCUCUAGGAAGAAGGUCUGACGGUACUAGAGGAAUCAGCAUCGGCUAACUCCGUGCCAGCAGCCGCGGUAAGACGGAGGAUGCAAGCGUUAUCCGGAAUUAUUGGGCGUAAAGCGUCCGCAGGUGGUGCCUCAAGUCUGCUGUCAAAGACCGAAGCUCAACUUCGGGCAGGCAGUGGAAACUGAAGCACUAGAGGACGGGAGGGGUAGGGGGAAUUUCCAGUGUAGCCGUGAAAUGCGUAGAGAUUGGAAAGAACACCAGUGGCGAAGGCGGUCUACUGGACCGUAACUGACACUCAGGGACGAAAGCUAGGGGAGCGAAAGGGAUUAGAUACCCCCGUAGUCC
rnacentral:rRNA from 1 species